AUCCUCGGAGGCGGAGUGAUACUCGCGUUCCUUUGCGCUCCCUGCGUCGCCAGGAGCAGAAUUUGAAUCUGUAAUUUACCGAGGCGAUUUAUCAAUACCGAUUUAAUCCGCUGUGUAUUCAGUCGUAACAGAGGAAUGUGCGGAUUAGAUGAUUUAUUGAAAUGACGAUGCAUAUGAAUGAGGCUAAACGUACAAAAGGUGUGUCUGAAAUUUUGUACGGUGUAUAUAUAGUUUCGUAUACGUACUGCGAAGGAGGAUUGACAGAUUUCGUACAACUAUUGGUUCAAAGAAGUGUUUUAUAAUCCGCCAGCGAGGUUUCCGUGCACGUUCUAGGAGCUUAUUUGUAAGGGAAUAAGAUUAAACUUCGUCUGUCCUCCGAUUGUAAAAAUUAGAAAAAUAUUUUGAAACUCGACUUGCGUAAAUAUGAAUAUGAUAUACGUAGAAUGGCUGUAACUCUUAGUAAUCUUAAAAGAACUCGAAAAUGAAGCAGGUAAAUAAAAAUGAUGGUAGCAUCGAUGUAAGAGUAGACAUGAUAAUCGAUAAAUUGAUUUCAUUGACAUUGGACUUGGAAGAAUUCGAAGUUGAACAAAAGGGGUCGUAGAUCUUUCAUUUUAGAUUGACAGUCAAAACUAUUUUUUUAAAAAGGUCCAGAAUCAUCUCGUUUUAAUAUACACUUUUAUUACAUAUUUACAAAUAAGUUCAUCGUGUAAAUAGCAUUUAAAAACAGUUUGUAUAAUGAUUAAUAAAAAACAUUGUUAAAAAUACAAUAGAAAAAAUACAAUUAAAUUAAAGCAUAGAAUUUAAGCGUACGCGAACGUAAUGACGAUAAUUCAACCCUCGUCCUCCCGACGAGCCCUUGCGAAACCACGUUAGAGUCGCUCUUUAAAGUUAGAUGUAAAUGUCAAUUAUAAACAUGAAUAAACAAUUAUAAAAUAUCUCAUGUAUUUUAAUCGUAUUCUCUUUUUACAGUAGACGUUUUACGCUUUAUAGUACAUCAUCGUUUACGAACAUAUCGAUGUAUUACUACGUGAAACUUAAAUCGGAGAAGGGAAA